rnacentral:SRP_RNA from 1 species
GCUGAGUUCAGUAACGUGAGCUUGUGACCCGAGUGGGGGCUUUGAGGUGGUGUGGACUUUGCCGUACGGAUGUGAACCUGGGCCGGGAUUGCUACUGAUGGCCCGCCCGUUCCAAGUUGCGUAGUGAAUCGCUGGGGCUUAUGCGAAAGCUGGGCCGCACGAUUCUUAAAGCGGCAGGCACAGCGUGAGGCUGGCUUCACAGAGCAGCGAGAACUGUCCGCUUCCAACGGUGGAAGGAUAACGGGCCGCUGCAUUCCUGGCCCUCUUGGGCUUCAUAGCCUAUUCCAAAGAACCACCAUCUUU